rnacentral:rRNA from 1 species
UUGGCCUUAUUCCCCAAUCCGAGCGGACAGAUGGGAGCUUGCUCCCUGAUGUUAGCGGCGGACGGGUGAGUAACACGUGGGUAACCUGCCUGUAAGACUGGGAUAACUCCGGGAAACCGGGGCUAAUACCGGAUGGUUGUUUGAACCGCAUGGUUCAAACAUAAAAGGUGGCUUCGGCUACCACUUACAGAUGGACCCGCGGCGCAUUAGCUAGUUGGUGAGGUAACGGCUCACCAAGGCAACGAUGCGUAGCCGACCUGAGAGGGUGAUCGGCCACACUGGGACUGAGACACGGCCCAGACUCCUACGGGAGGCAGCAGUAGGGAAUCUUCCGCAAUGGACGAAAGUCUGACGGAGCAACGCCGCGUGAGUGAUGAAGGUUUUCGGAUCGUAAAGCUCUGUUGUUAGGGAAGAACAAGUACCGUUCGAAUAGGGCGGUACCUUGACGGUACCUAACCAGAAAGCCACGGCUAACUACGUGCCAGCAGCCGCGUAUACCUAUGACCAA